UACGUAGGGUCCGAGCGUUGUCCGGAAUUAUUGGGCGUAAAGGGCUCGUAGGCGGUUUGUCGCGUCGGGAGUGAAAACACGGGGCUUAACCCCGUGCCUGCUUCCGAUACGGGCAGACUAGAGGUAUGCAGGGGAGAACGGAAUUCCUGGUGUAGCGGUGGAAUGCGCAGAUAUCAGGAGGAACACCAAUAGCGAAGGCAGCUCGCUGGGACGGUACUGACGCUAAGGCGCGAAAGCGUGGGGAGCGAACAGG
rnacentral:rRNA from 1 species